rnacentral:SRP_RNA from 1 species
ACUGGCGAGUGUAGCGACUCGCUGUGAUCUAAGCAGAAGUCGGUGGUGGGGAGAGUGGAGAGAGGGAGGAAAUUGAAUAAAAAAAGGUGCCUAUACACCACAAGGUGUAAAAGGAGAUCUAUGCAUGCAUGCAUGCAACAGAUCGACGAUCCGCCCUAACUAAACUGCAGCCUCUAAGGGUGUCUCCUGGAGGGGAGAAAAAGGAGACAGUCUCUCUAAUUACAUCCUUAAGGGAUAAUGAGCCGCGGAACGCCUUAGGCUGGCAACAGAGCAGGGAAAAGCGACCGCUGUAGUUUGAGGAAGGAACACGGAUCCAUCAGGUGUAUAGGCACCUCUGACCUCUACAUCCUAUCCACCCACCACUUU